AGAUAGGAGGAGAAAUCUGGGGAAGGGGUCGGGGAGCAAGAGAAGGAGAAGAGGAGGAGGAUGCCGGGGACUAGUCACUGGGCAACACAGCCGGCCACGAGGUCCAAAUCAGAUACUUUACCAACUGAUCCAUACCCCCUAGCUCCAGGGGGAAAAUCUCAGGAUUUCAGGAAGUUUUUAUGUCGGCAUUUGAAGCUCAGGAUGUCAAGAACAUGUUGUCACCACCUUUUGCUACACCAUUCAUCAUAGUCUUCGGUCCCUCCCGACACCCGCAAAUAGUAGCUUCCAGUGAACCCGCUUGACUUAGGAGGACAUUCAAGACACAGAGAGGGCACACUGCUUCCCCGAGGACAGACAGGUAUCAGAAAACAGAGCUGAAGCAGAAAUCCAGAGGGCAGCGGCCGCGGACACUCAGGAGUGCGCAAACAACGGGGACGAGGAAAAUAUUUAACAAGGAAGUGUAGACAGAGAAGAAACAUGGUGGCCACAACGGAAGACUGUAGGGGUCAUCCCACAAUAUUGUCCACGCCCAAAAGGGUGGGGGCAGGGGGAUGGGCACAGGCGAAAUAUUUAAAGAAAGAGAAAGAAAAGCCUCUCUAUCUUGGAAGCCUGCCACACUUCUGAUCUUCCAGCUUGUGUGUAAGUUCUUUCUCCGGUAAAUAAAUAUAUUAUUUUCCAUAUUGCAUUGACCUCCCUCAUCAGAAGACCACCUGGGGUUUAGCCACAAUCAAUGCCUUGCUCCUUGAGACCAUAAAUGAGGCCAUGAAUUAAAGCCUUUGUAAGUUGUUUCCUGGUUUUCCAAAUGCAUCUUUCUACAAAGUAAAAUAAUCCAAGUGGAGAAGGCCAAGCCCUACCUUUUUUAUUCUCCCACUGAUUUAUCCUUAUGGUGACUUAGCUUCGGCUUUUGUGGACAAUAGACAGAUACAAGCCAGCUUCGAUGGCUUUUCCACAUUCUUGGUUAAAGUAUAAAGAUAUUCUGCACUGAAUUGCUCAUUGUCUAUUAUCUCCUUUUCUUUUCUGUUUGUUUUUUUUUAAAAAGACAGGGUAUCUGUGUA